UACGAAGGGGGCUAGCGUUGUUCGGAAUUACUGGGCGUAAAGCGCACGUAGGCGGAUUGUUUAGUGAGGGGUGAAAUCCCAGGGCUCAACCCUGGAACUGCCUCUCAUACUGGCAAUCUCGAGUUCGAGAGAGGUGAGUGGAAUUCCGAGUGUAGAGGUGAAAUUCGUAGAUAUUCGGAGGAACACCAGUGGCGAAGGCGGCUCACUGGCUCGAUACUGACGCUGAGGUGCGAAAGCGUGGGGAGCAAAC
rnacentral:rRNA from 1 species